rnacentral:rRNA from 1 species
UACGUAGGGUGCGAGCGUUGUCCGGAAUUACUGGGCGUAAAGAGCUCGUAGGUGCCUGUUAAGUCGAACGUGAAAUCCCCGGGCUCAACCCGGGAACUGCGUCCGAAACUGGCAGGCUUGAAUCCGGGAGAGGGAUGCGGAAUUCCAGGUGUAGCGGUGAAAUGCGUAGAUAUCUGGAGGAACAUCGGUGGCGAAGGCGGCAUCCUGGACCGGUAUUGACGCUGAGGCGCGAAAGCCAGGGGAGCAAACGGG